AAUGGGUUUGAUCCUGGCUCAGAGUGAACGCUUAUGGUAUGCUUUACACAUGCAAGUUUAAUGAAAAAAAAAAUAAAAUUACUGAUUUUUUUAAUCUUAUUUUUUUAUUAUAGCGAACGGGUGAGUAAAAACUUUUUUUUACCAAUCAAUUUAAGAAAUUCGUGCAAUAUGAAAAUCUUAAAUAAAAAAAUUUUUUUAGGAAAAUUUGUAAAAGACUAUAUGUUGUUGGUUGAUGAAAAAAGAAAGUAUUAGGUUGUUGGUUUUCCAAGCCGAAGAUGCUUAGUUGGUCUGAGAGGAUGUACAACCACAUUGGGACUGAGACAAGGCCCUGACUUUUAAAGGCUGCAGUGGGGAAUAUUGGACAAUGAGAGAAAUCUUGAUCCAGCAAAAUCAGAUGGUAGGACGCCGACACAAGAAGGCUGUAAGAGUAUUCAGGCGAGGUUGUAAAUAUCUAAUAAAAAAAAAGAUGAUGACUUUUUUUUAGAAUAGUCCCGGUAAACUUCGUGCCAGCAGCCGCGGUAAUA
rnacentral:rRNA from 1 species